rnacentral:rRNA from 1 species
UAGAUACCCUGGUAGUCCACGCCGUAAACGAUGAGCACUAGGUGUCGGGACAUGAGUCUCGGUGCCGCAGUUAACGCAAUAAGUGCUCCGCCUGGGGAGUACGCACGCAAGUGUAAAACUCAAAGGAAUUGACGGGGACCCGCACAAGCAGCGGAGCAUGUGGUUUAAUUCGAAGCAACGCGAAGAACCUUACCAAGACUUGACAUCCCUCUGACAUACCCUUAAUCGGGUAUUUCUUCGGACAGAGGAG